rnacentral:rRNA from 1 species
UGGGUAACCUGCCUCAAAGAGGGGAAUAGCCUCCCGAAAGGGAGAUUAAUACCGCAUAAUAUGUUUAAGUCGCAUGACUUUAACAUCAAAGGAUUUUUCUUUUAGAAAUUCCACUUUGAGAUGGACCCGCGGCGCAUUAGCUAGUUGGUGAGGUAACGGCUCACCAAGGCAACGAUGCGUAGCCGACCUGAGAGGGUNAUCGGCCACAUUGGGACUGAGACACGGCCCAGACCUCCGUAGGGAGG